AAGGAUGUGGAAUUGCAUAGACAACCAGGAUGUUGGCUUAGAAGCAGCCACUCAUUAAAAGAGUGCGUAAUAGCUCACUGGUCGAGUGAUUCUGCGCCGAAAAUUUAACGGGGCUAAACUAUACACCGAAGCUUAGGAUACCGCAAGGUAUGGUAGGAGAGCGUUCUGUACGGAGUGAAGUCGUAGCGAAAGCGGCGGUGGACUGUACAGAAGUGAGAAUGCCGGAAUAAGUAGCGAGAAUUAAGUGAGAAUCUUAAUGGCCGAAAGUCUAAGGUUUUUGGAGGAAGGUUCGUCCGCUCCAAGUAAGUCGGGAGCUAAGGUCAGGCCGAAAGGCGUAGCCGAUGCACAAACGGUUGAUAUUCCGUUACCGUCUACAAUUUAAACAAAGGGACACAUACAAAGCGUUUAACCCGGGCGAUGGUUGACCCGGGCGCAAGGGACUGAAAUUAGAGUAGGGAAGUAAAUGUGGCGUAUGGCGAGAAAAGCUUUGUGUAUAGAAGUAGACGCCCGUACCGCAAACCGACACAGGUGGACAGGAAGAGAAUUCUAAGGCCAGCGGGAGAAGGGUAGUUAAGGAACUCGGCAAAUUGACUCCGUAACUUCGGAAUAAGGAGUGCUCGAAAGAGCCGCAGAGAAUAGGCCCAGGCGACUGUUUAGCAAAAACACAGGUCUCUGCCAAAUCGAAAGAUGAAGUAUAGGGGCUGACACCUGCCCGGUGCCGGAAGGUUAAGAGGAGGAGUGCAAGCUCCAAAUUGAAGCCCCGGUAAACGGCGGCCGUAACUAUAACGGUCCUAAGGUAGCGAAAUUCCUUGUCGGGUAAGUUCCGACCCGCACGAAUGGUGUAACGAUCUGGGCACUGUCUCAACUACCCACCCGGCGAAAUUGUAGUACCGGUGAAGAUGCCGGUUACCUGCGGCAAGACGGAAAGACCCCAUGGAGCUUUACUGUAGCCUGAUAUUGGGUUUCGGAAAUCUAUGUACAGGAUAGGCGGGAGACUGGGAAGUAUGAGCGUCAGCUUAUACGGAGUCGUUGUUGGGAUACCGCCCUUAGGUUUCUGGAAUUCUAACCUGCGACCGUGAAUCCGGUCGGGGGACAUUGUCAGGUGGGCAGUUUGACUGGGGCGGUCGCCUCCGAAAAGGUAACGGAGGCGCUCAAAGGUUGGCUCAGCACGGACGGAAACCGUGCCUCUGAGUGUAAACGCAAAAGCCAGCCUAACUGCGAGGAUGACGGUCCGAGCAGUAACGAAAGUUGGAGUUAGUGAUCCGGCGGUAUGUGAAUGGAAAUGCCGUCGCUCAACGGAUAAAAGCUACCCUGGGGAUAACAGGCUGAUCUCCCCCAAGAGUCCACAUCGACG
rnacentral:rRNA from 1 species